UACAGAGGGGGCAAGCGUUAUUCGGAAUUAUUGGGCGUAAAGGGCGCGUAGGCGGCCUGGCAAGUGGAAGGUGAAAUCCCUCGGCUUAACCGAGGAACUGCCCUCCAAACUGCUUGGCUUGAGUCCGGGAGAGGUGAGUGGAAUUCCCAGUGUAGCGGUGAAAUGCGUAGAUAUUGGGAGGAACACCAGUGGCGAAAGCGGCUCACUGGACCACAACUGACGCUGAGGCGCGAAAGCUAGGGGAGCAAACAGG
rnacentral:rRNA from 1 species